rnacentral:rRNA from 1 species
UACGAAGGGGGCUAGCGUUGCUCGGAAUCACUGGGCGUAAAGCGCACGUAGGCGGAUCUUUAAGUCAGGGGUGAAAUCCUGGAGCUCAACUCCAGAACUGCCUUUGAUACUGGGGAUCUCGAGUCCGGAAGAGGUGAGUGGAACUCCGAGUGUAGAGGUGAAAUUCGUAGAUAUUCGGAAGAACACCAGUGGCGAAGGCGGCGCACUGGUCCGGUACUGACGCUGAGGUGCGAAAGCGUGGGGAGCAAACAGG